CAUAGUGGCAGACGGGUGAGUAACGCGUGGGAACGUGCCCUUCACUACGGAAUAGCUUCUGGAAACGGAAGGUAAUACCGUAUACGCCCUUCGGGGGAAAGAUUUAUCGGUGAAGGAUCGGCCCGCGUUAGAUUAGAUAGUUGGUGGGGUAAUGGCCUACCAAGUCUACGAUCUAUAGCUGGUCUGAGAGGAUGAUCAGCCACACUGGGACUGAGACACGGCCCAGACUCCUACGGGAGGCAGCAGUGGGGAAUCUUGCACAAUGGGCGAAAGCCUGAUGCAGCCAUGCCGCGUGAAUGAUGAAGGCCUUAGGGUUGUAAAAUUCUUUCGCCAGGGAUGAUAAUGACAGUACCUGGUAAAGAAGCCCCGGCUAACUUCGUGCCAGCAGCCGCGGUAAUACGAAGGGGGCUAGCGUUGUUCGGAAUUACUGGGCGUAAAGCGCGCGUAGGCGGGCUAUUAAGCCAGAUGUGAAAGCCCGGGGCUCAACCCCGGAAUUGCAUUUGGAACUGGUAGCCUAGAGACCAGGAGAGGUUAGCGGAAUACCGAGUGUAGAGGUGAAAUUCGUAGAUAUUCGGUGGAACACCAGUGGCGAAGGCGGCUAACUGGACUGGUACUGACGCUGAGGCGCGAAAGUGUGGGGAGCAAACAGGAUUAGAUACCCUGGUAGUCCACACCGUAAACGAUGAAUGCUAGUUGUCUGCGCGCAUGCGUGCAGGUGACGCAGCUAACGCAUUAAGCAUUCCGCCUGGGGAGUACGGCCGCAAGGUUAAAACUCAAAGAAAUUGACGGGGGCCCGCACAAGCGGUGGAGCAUGUGGGUUUAAUUCGAAGCAACGCGCAGAACCUUACCCGCGUUUGACAUGCCCUGUUUGGUUCCCAGAGAUGGUUUCCUUCAUUUAGUUGGCAGGUGCACAGGUGCUGCAUGGCUGUCGUCAGCUCGUGUCGUGAGAAGUUUGGGGUUAAGUCCCGCAACGAGCGCAACCCUUAUCCUUAGUUGCCACAACGUCUGGGUGGGCACUCUAAGGAAACUGCCGGUGCUAA
rnacentral:rRNA from 1 species